rnacentral:rRNA from 1 species
AUUGAACGCUGGCGGCAGGCCUAACACAUGCAAGUCGAGCGGAGCGGCGGACGGGUGAGUAAUGCCUAGGAAUCUGCCUGGUAGUGGGGGAUAACGUCCGGAAACGGGCGCUAAUACCGCAUACUAUCAGAUGAGCCUAGGUCGGAUUAGCUAGUUGGUGGGGUAAAGGCCUACCAAGUCGACGAUCCGUAACUGGUCUGAUAGGAAGAUCAGUCAGACUGGAACUGAGACACGGUCCAGACUCCUGCGUGAGGCAGCAGUGGGGAAUAUUGGUCAUUGGGAGAAAGCCUGAUCCAGCCAGGCCGAGUGUGUGAAGAAGGUCUUCAGAUUGUAAAGCACUUUAAGUUGGGAGGCGUUACCAACAGAAUAAGCACCGGCUAACUUCGUGCCAGCAGCCGCGGUAAUUC